AGAUUGAACGCUGGCGGCAUGCCUUACACAUGCAAGUCGAACGGCAGCACGGGAGCAAUCCUGGUGGCGAGUGGCGAACGGGUGAGUAAUACAUCGGAACGUGCCCAAUCGUGGGGGAUAACGCAGCGAAAGCUGUGCUAAUACCGCAUAAGAUCUACGGAUGAAAGCAGGGGAUCGCAAGACCUUGCGCGAAUGGAGCGGCCGAUGGCAGACUUAGGUAGUUGGUGAGGUAAAGG
rnacentral:rRNA from 1 species